GGUAUGGGAUGAGCUUGCGUCCGAUUAGCUAGUUGGCGGGGCAACGGCCCACCAAGGCGACGAUCGGUAGCCGGCCUGAGAGGGUGAUCGGCCACAUUGGGACUGAGAUACGGCCCAGACUCCUACGGGAGGCAGCAGUAGGGAAUAUUGCACAAUGGGGGAAACCCUGAUGCAGCAACGCCACGUGUGGGAAGAAGCAUUUCGGUGUGUAAACCACUGUCAUGAGGGAAUAAGGCCCGCCUCCGGGCGGGAUUGAAUGUACCUUGAGAGGAAGCACCGGCAAACUUCGUGCCAGCAGCCGCGGUAAUACGAGGGGUGCAAGCGUUGUUCGGAAUUACUGGGCGUAAAGGGAGCGUAGGCGGAGAUUCAAGCGGAUUGUACAAUCCCGGGGCCCAACCCCGGCUCUGCAGUCCGAACUGGAUCUCUUGGAUAGUUCAGGGGCAGGC
rnacentral:rRNA from 1 species